CCGCGGUAAUACGAAGGGUGCAAGCGUUAUCCGGAUUCAUUGGGUUUAAAGGGUGCGUAGGUGGGGCGUUAAGUCAGUGGUGAAAUCCUGCAGCUCAACUGUAGACUUGCCAUUGAUACUGGCGUUCUUGAGUGCGCUUGAAGUAGGCGGAAUGUGCCGUGUAGCGGUGAAAUGCUUAGAUAUGGCACAGAACACCAAUUGCGAAGGCAGCUUACUAAGGCGAUACUGACACUGAGGCACGAAAGCGUGG
rnacentral:rRNA from 1 species